rnacentral:rRNA from 1 species
UGGGGAAUCUUGCGCAAUGGGCGAAAGCCUGACGCAGCGACGCCGCGUGCGGGAUGACGGCCUUCGGGUUGUAAACCGCUGUCGGGAGGGACGAAGCUCUGACGGUACCUUCAAAGGAAGCACCGGCUAACUCUGUGCCAGCAGCCGCGGUAAUACAGAGGGUGCGAGCGUUGUCCGGAAUCACUGGGCGUAAAGGGCGCGUAGGCGGCCCGGUAAGUCGGAGGUGAAACGCUGCGGCUCAACCGCAGCACUGCCUUCGAGACUGCCAGGCUUGAGCACGGUAGAGGCUGGUGGAAUUCCCGGUGUAGCGGUGGAAUGCGUAGAGAUCGGGAAGAACAUCGGUGGCGAAGCGGCCAGCUGGGCCGUUGCUGACGCUGAGGCGCGACAGCGUGGGGAGCAAACAGGAUUAGAUACCCUGGUAGUCCACGCCCGUAAACGAUGGGUACUAGGUCGUCGGGGGGAGCGGACCCCCUCGGUGCCGUCGCUAACGCAGU